GGGACACGUGGUAUCCUGUCUGAAUAUGGGGGGACCAUCCUCCAAGGCUAAAUACUCCUGACUGACCGAUAGUGAACCAGUACCGUGAGGGAAAGGCGAAAAGAACCCCGGCGAGGGGAGUGAAAAAGAACCUGAAACCGUGUACGUACAAGCAGUGGGAGCACGCUUAGGCGUGUGACUGCGUACCUUUUGUAUAAUGGGUCAGCGACUUAUAUUCUGUAGCAAGGUUAACCGAAUAGGGGAGCCGAAGGGAAACCGAGUCUUAACUGGGCGUUAAGUUGCAGGGUAUAGACCCGAAACCCGGUGAUCUAGCCAUGGGCAGGUUGAAGGUUGGGUAACACUAACUGGAGGACCGAACCGACUAAUGUUGAAAAAUUAGCGGAUGACUUGUGGCUGGGGGUGAAAGGCCAAUCAAACCGGGAGAUAGCUGGUUCUCCCCGAAAGCUAUUUAGGUAGCGCCUCGUGAAUUCAUCUCCGGGGGUAGAGCACUGUUUCGGCAAGGGGGUCAUCCCGACUUACCAACCCGAUGCAAACUGCGAAUACCGGAG
rnacentral:rRNA from 1 species